UACGUAGGGGGCGAGCGUUAUCCGGAUUUACUGGGCGUAAAGCGCGUGUAGGCGGUUGCGUAAGUUAGUUGUGAAAUCCCUCGGCUCAACCGAGGAACUGCAGCUAAUACUGCGCGGCUGGAGUGGCAGAGAGGAAAGUGGAAUAUCCGGUGUAGUAGUGAAAUGCGUAGAUAUCGGAUGGAACACCAGUGGCGAAGGCGACUUUCUGGCUGCUAACUGACGCUGAGACGCGAAAGCUAGGGGAGCGAACGGG
rnacentral:rRNA from 1 species